rnacentral:snRNA from 1 species
UGCGGCAGGAGGUAGUGCAAGCAACAACCCCCUCGCCUUUUACUAGGGGGUUCCGUGUACUGCCUCUACAUCAAUGCCGCAUUACCCAAUUUUUCGGACCAUCGCUCGUUUCGAGCAU